rnacentral:lncRNA from 1 species
UGGUUUGAGAUCCAUGGGGCCCACACGUGAUUUCCCACAGGUGGCAGCGUGGAGGCCCCCAGGAUGGGGUUCACCCACCCGCCGGGCCACCUCUCUGGGUGCCAGAGCAGCCUGGCCAGUGAGACGGGGACAGGCUCUGCCGACCCGCCAGGGGGACCCCGACCCGGGCCGACCCGAAGGGCCCCGGUAAAAGACACACCUGGACGAGCCCCCGCUGCUGACGCAGCUCCAGCAGGCCCCUCCAGCUGCCUGGGCUGAGGUGUCUGGUGCCUGGAACAGACUUCCCUGUGGAGGAUUCCUGCCAGACCCUGCCCGGCUCCUCCCUGACCGGUCCUUGUGCCCUCACCAGACACCCUGUUGGCCACGACUCAACAAACCAGUGUUGGGAGCCGUCUGCCUCCCCACCUCAGUGCCUUC